AUCUCAGGGCCAAACCGAUAGGAAACGAGGCUGCCUCGCGGUGGCACCGCCACCCCCCAACCGGGUUCCGAGCACCGGAGCUGGCUGCUGCUCCCUCUUUGGAGCAAAGUUUUAUGCAAAGAGGGUGUUUUUUGAAACUUUCGAAAAAUAACUAAACAUGGGCAAAGGAGAUCCUAAGAAGCCGAGAGGCAAAAUGUCAUCAUAUGCAUUUUUUGUGCAAACUUGUCGGGAGGAGCAUAAGAAGAAGCACCCAGAUGCUUCAGUCAACUUCUCAGAGUUUUCUAAGAAGUGCUCAGAGAGGUGGAAGACCAUGUCUGCUAAAGAGAAAGGAAAAUUUGAAGAUAUGGCA
rnacentral:lncRNA from 1 species